rnacentral:rRNA from 1 species
ACGGCUCAGUAACACGUGGAUAACCUGCCCUUGGGUCCGGCAUAACCCCGGGAAACUGGGGAUAAUACCGGAUAACGCAUAUAUGCUGGAAUGCUUUAUGCGUCAAAUGGAUUCGUCUGCCCAAGGAUGGGUCUGCGGCCUAUCAGGUAGUAGUGGGUGUAAUGUACCUACUAGCCGACGACGGGUACGGGUUGUGAGAGCAAGAGCCCGGAGAUGGAUUCUGAGACAUGAAUCCAGGCCCUACGGGGCGCAGCAGGCGCGAAAACUUUACAAUGCGGGAAACCGUGAUAAGGGGACACCGAGUGCCAGCAUCAUAUGCUGGCUGUCCAGGUGUGUAAACUACACCUGUUAGCAAGGGCCGGGCAAGACCGGUGCCAGCCGCCGCGGUAACACCGGCGGCCCGAGUGGUGAUCGUGAUUAUUGGGUCUAAAGGGUCCGUAGCCGGUUUGGUCAGUCCUCCGGGAAAUCUGACGGCUCAACCGUUAGGCUUUCGGGGGAUACUGCCAGGCUUGGAACCGGGAGAGGUAAGAGGUACUACAGGGGUAGGAGUGAAAUCUUGUAAUCCCUGUGGGACCACCUGUGGCGAAGGCGUCUUACCAGAACGGGUUCGACGGUGAGGGACGAAAGCUGGGGGCACGAACCGGAUUAGAUACCCGGGUAGUCCCAGCCGUAAACGAUGCUCGCUAGGUGUCAGGCAUGGCGCGACCGUGUCUGGUGCCGCAGGGAAGCCGUGAAGCGAGCCACCUGGGAAGUACGGCCGCAAGGCUGAAACUUAAAGGAAUUGGCGGGGGAGCAC